rnacentral:rRNA from 1 species
AAGGAGUCUACCUAUUAUGCGAGUGUUGGGGUGGAAAAACCCAAACGCACACCGAAAGGGAUUUAAGAUGUGAGGCGCGAGCUGCAACAUCAACCAAUCUUGAUUCUUUUGAAGAAAGACUUGAGUAAGAGCAUAAUCGGUAGGACCCGAAAGAUGGUGAACUACGGUUGAGUAGGGUGAAGCCAGGGGAAACUCUGGUGGAGGCUCGAAGCGUUACUGACGUGCAAAAUCGUUCGUCAAACUUGACUGUAGGGGCGAAAGACUAAUCGAACCAUCUAGUAGCUGGUUCCCUCUGAAAUUUCUCUCAGGAUAGCAGGAACAGAUAUAGCAGUUUUAUCAGGUAAAGCUAAUGAUUAGUGGAAUCGGGGGUCUCCGAUCCUUGACCAAUUCUCAAACUUUAAAUUGGUAAGAACCAGAAGUUUUCUUAAUUGAACUUUUGGCAGAAUGCAUUGUUCUUAGUGGG